CAAAAGCUUGGUCAGGACGUCAGGAAUAAGCUGCUUCUGAGAGAGGGUGAUGUCUUCACCACAGCAGAUCCCCCAGGAGAAGUCAUCCUUGUCCAGCGGACACGCGGAGGCGCUGUGCUCAUGCUGGGAUGCAGACCAAACCCCACCGCCUCCAGGAGGAACCAUUCCUGUCCCCGGGCCAGCUGGCAGGAGCCAGGAGAUGAGGUUCUCCAGGGUGAAAUCCAGAGGGGUCUCACAGAGGAGGUGUGUCUGAGCCUCAAAGCAGCCCCUAAACCGAUGAAGGUCACCAAAGCACACCCAGAGAAUGUUUCCAUGGCCUAAGAAGAAUGUGCCUUCCGAGUCCCCGGCUAAGGAAUCCAGGAGUGGCCAACCCAGAGAUUCACCUCUUACCCAUGAGGAACAGGCCCUGGCCCAUCCCUUGGAAUGCAGGCCCUGCGGGGGUCAAGGCCCUCUGUUCUGGGUUGGGAGGAGGUUGCUAGGGGGAGGGUGCGGAGGGAAAAAGCUACAUAAACUGCAGGCUUCUUACAAACUGGAGCGGCUCCCCUGUCCAGCCCACUGCCAGCAGACUGUCCCUGCAUGUAACUUCC
rnacentral:lncRNA from 1 species